CCGGAUCUCAGAUCAAGCAAGAGGACCCGCCGAAUUUAAGCAUAUAAUUAAGCGGAGGAAAAGAAACUAACUAGGAUUCCCUCAGUAACGGCGAGUGAAGCGGGACUAGCUCAGGAUGUGAAUCUGCGCUUUUAUGGCGCCGAAUUGUGGUCUGUAGACUUUGACAUUAUUUGCCGGGCCAAGUUCCUUGGAAAAGGACAGCUGAGAGGGUGACACUCCCGUCCGCCUGGUAAAGUGAGUCAUUUGUCAACGAGUCGAGUUGUUUGGGAUUGCAGCUCUAAUUUGGUGGUAAAUUCCAUCUAAAGCUAAAUAUUGGUGGGAGACCGAUAGCGUACAAGUACCGUGAGGGAAAGAUGCAAAGAACUUUGAAAAGAGAGUUAAAGAGUACCUGAAACUGCUGAAACGGAAGCGAAGGAAACCAGUGUUUGUUUGUUCAUAUUUCCCUGGCCACUUGUGGUCUGGGCGCUGUGGACUUGCGUGAGUUUGGGUUGGUUGAUCCCUUUGGAAGAGCGCAGUCAGAGUUGAUGUCUGUUGCUAGCACUGGGUUGACUGAUGCAGACGAAAGACGGGC
rnacentral:rRNA from 1 species